ensembl:misc_RNA Metazoa_SRP Metazoan signal recognition particle RNA
GCCAGGCAUGGUGGCGCAUGCGUGCCUGUAGUCCCAGCUACUCGGGAGGAUGAGGUGGGAGGAUUGCUUGAGCCCAGGAGUUCUGGGCUGUAGUGCCGCUAUGCCCAUCAGGUGUCCGCACUAAGUUCGGCAUCAAUAUGUUGACCUCCUGAGAGCGGGGGACCACCAGGUUGCCUAAGGAGGGGUGAACCUGCACAGGUCAGAAACGGAGCAGCUCAAAACUCCGGUGCUGAUCAGUAGUGGGAUCGUGCCUGUGAAUAGCCACUGCACUCCAGCCUGGGCAACGUAGUGAGACUCUGUCUCUU